CCUACGGGUGGCAGCAGUGAGGAAUAUUUGUCAAUGGACGCCAGUCUGAACCAGCCAUGCCGCGUGCAGGACGACGGCUCUAUGAGUUGUAAACUGCUUUUGUACGAGGGUAAACGCAGAUACGCGUAUCUGUCUGAAAGUAUCUUACGAAUAAGAAUCGGCUAACUCCGUGCCGGCAGCCGCGGUCAUACUGAGGAUUCAAGCGUUAUCCGGAUUUAUUGGGUUUAAAGGGUGCGUAGGCAGUCGGAUAAGUUAGAGGUGAAAUCCCGAGGCUCAACUUCGGAAUUGCCUCUGAUACUGGUCGGCUAGAGAAUAGUAGCGGUAGGCGGAAUGUAUGGUGUAGCGGUGAAAUGCUUAGAGAGCAUACAGAACACCGAUUGCGAAGGCAGCUUACCAAGCUACUUCUGACGUUGAGGCACGAAAGCGUGGGGAGCAAACAGGAUUAGAUACCCUAGUAGUC
rnacentral:rRNA from 1 species